UGUCUGGUAGCAUAGCCCAGUCA
rnacentral:piRNA from 1 species